GCCUAGUUAGCUUAGUUGGUAGUGCGCCUGCCUUGUAACCGCUAGGCCGCGGGUUCGAUUCCCGCCCGGGGCG
rfam:Asian citrus Psyllid, Diaphorina citri - Florida Strain, whole genome shotgun sequence.